UAGGCCUCCUGAUCAGUCAUCUGGUUUAAGAGGAAGCAAAACAAUGGAGUUGCAUGAGUCACAAAACAGCCUUACCUACCUGCCAACCAUAGGGUUACUAGGGCAACCAACCCCUUGAAGGACAGAACAGGAUGCCUUCCUGGCCAUAUACUCCUUGAAUGCAGACAGAAAAAAAGACUGUUUGUGGAAACAUUGUCUAACUCAUCACCAACACCUGGGCAUCAAAUGAUGGGUAUCUGCUGUGGCUGUUGUUGCAGAGGUGCUGACGACGAUGCGCCAGAAUAUAUAUUUGAACCAACAGACAGUCCACCUAGACCACCAGCUGCAAAUAUCCGUCCCGUCCUGGAGCCAUGUGUUCGGUCAUGAAGAUAGAAGGCUGCAUGGAUACCAUCCACUAGCAUGGUAUCCUGUGCCAUUCCGACUUGGAAAAACCAUGAUGUUGCUAAAGCUUUCCCAUAAUCCCGUUAUCACCACAGGCAGUCAUGAAGACAUGUUUGCAAACUCCUACUUGAGAAGAGACAAACAUGUCCGAUUACCCCCUUGCCUGUAAUCCUGAUAGAUGUAGAUGAAGACUGACUAAAGACCAAAAACAAAGAAAACCCUGAUUCUGGAUCACCAAGAAUCAUGUCAAAGGAUCACCAACAACAGCAUGAUGUCCAGGAAUCGGAGUCAACAGGCUGCUUCGGCAAGCAUCCAAUUUCAACCCAACUGAAAUAAACUUCUAUCCUCA